AUCAGAAUUUCUCAAGAUCAAAACGAAACCUUCUCUUUAAAAAGGAAAGAAAGUACUAUCGAUACAGAAAGCAAAAGUAUUUCCAGUCUCCUACUGAACUGUCACGGCAGACCUCUCUGUAUCUAUAUUUAGAGCUGUAUGUCCAUAUAUUUGCCUGAAUGUGUGAGUUCUUGGAAGUAUGGAUUCAUUGCCAGGAGCUGGUGAUUUCCUAAGCAGAGGUCGCUAACUACAAGAAAUGUUACACUCGAGUAUGGAACUGCAGGACGCACAGACAACUGUGAAGGGUUUUUAAGAAUAUGGAUUCAUUGAAUAAUCAGUGAAUCUUGUGAAUAUACUAGACCUUUGGAGGAGGAAAGGGUGUUUUACAGAAGGAAGUGGUUUGUGGGGGCUUUUAAAGGACAAGUCCUGCGCUUGGGGAUCCUCUGUACGCCCGUUCACUGGUGAGUAUGUAUGACAGCAAUUUCUGAUUUCACUAGUUCUUGCUUCUAACACCUAAAUGGUGCUUUGUCUAGGGAAACGCUUUAAAGAGCAUUUUCCCCCAGUACGUUUAUAAUACAUUUCAUAUUUACCUCCAGAAAAUACUGUGGAUGUGAUAAUAAUUAUAAAAGACAACCCACAGACAACAAUGAAAGUUAAGAAUUAAGAUAUAUUCUGAUAGAUUUUUGCAGCAUAUUGACAUAAAGGCAGUUUUGGUUUUGACAUAUGUACACUAAAAUGAUAUCUGUAAUGCUAUUAAAACUCAAGUGUACAAGGCACCAGUAUAUUCUGGCAAAAAUAAUAUAAUGAUCAACAGUUAAUGAAAGACUUGUGCUUUGAGCUUCUAACAAAAUGUUAAUAUGUAGAGAAUCUUGUGAUUCAUGAUGCUUUGGUUCUCAACCAGGGUUAUCAAAUAAGCUAAAAGUAUCAGAAGAGGACAAAGAAAGUACGUAAAACAUGGAUAAAAGCAGAAACCGAGAAAAGAUAGCUUUGAUAUUUAAAGUGUUAGAUUAUGGCCUCUAUAUAAUGUCAUAUAUGCCAGAUCCCCCCCCAAAAUCACACCCUCAAAUUAUGAUCUUCAUUAUUCAAAAGAUGUUUGGCGUGUUGGUGGUACAGUGGUGAGCGUAGUUGCCUUCCAGAAGAUGGUUGGUGUAUAAUUACUAUAGAAUUUCUUGCUCUCUUGGGAGGUGGCUUAGUAGAAGGUUGAGUCAGGCAAGCUGGGGCUGUUUAUUCAGUGUGCUGUGCUGUGCUGUGCUGUGCUGUGCUGUGCUGUGCUGUGCUGUGCUGUGUCUGAAUGCCUGGGAGUUUGCGUUGUUAACCUUUCCAGGGUGCUAGAUCCCUUUGAGAUUAUGAUGGAAGCCAUGAAUCCUUUUCCCACACCUGUAUGCAAACAUGUGCCUGCCCAUUUACAGACCCAAAGAAGGACAUCCAUGUACCCCACGUUAAGAAGGCUGCCCUGGACUAAGCCCUCACUGUGACUCUGCUGUUCUUAAGCUUCCCAGGAAACACUGUUAUGUAAAAAGACGAGCCAUCCAGGUCAAAAAGAAGUCAUUGUGGUUGCUAGGUGGGGGUGCAAAGCCAAAGACAAAGGGUGGGGAAAAUACAUGACUAAUAAUAAAUAAAGAGCAUGGUUAAUACCAGAGUCUCCAAACUGAUAGCCCAGAAUCCCUCAACAUGUAGCCACGAGUAUUUGUAAAGUACGUUGUGAAUUCAGGUAGAGGGCCGAAGACUCAAUAUUAAGCAGUUGGGCAGAGUUUUCAUACAUAUAUUUGUCUCUGCCUUUUGCACAAUAUAAAACUAUGAAAUCUCUUUUCAUUUUUCUAUUGUGCACGCUACCACAUUAGGUAGGAAUCAAAAUCAUCUCAACUCCAGAAGUAUAAUUCAUAACAAUUAUAACAAAGCAGAAAAAUGAUUCUACAUUAGCAGAAGAAAUGUAGUAGGAAUAGAUUUAAAAUAGCAUGGUUGAGUACAAAAGAAACAUCGUUUUUUAAAAAAUGGCAGCCUUUAUCACUCAUCAGCUAAACUUAAAGUCAAUGCUGUGAGGCUGUUGCGGGAAAAAAAUAGUCAUGAUUCUUGGGUGUAUUAAAAGGAGUAUGACAUAGAAGGGUAAGAAAACAAGACGUAGUGUGUUUGUCAGACUCAUCAUUGUGUCCUGUUUGAGUCACACUUAAAAAAAGAAUUUGGACAAUUGUGAAAAGCUGAUACACAAGCAACAGAAAUUACACGCCCUUCCAGGAAAAGAUAAGGCAACUGAGGAUUUUAUUCCACACAAGGCUGGAGGAUUUUUUGCUAAUGGCCUUUAAGUAGUAACAGUCUGGUUUAUCCUUAUAUUCCUAGGGCCUUCCGCUCUGCCUGGUGCACAGUACUUGAGAUGAUCGUUGUGUUUAGUGAUAAUGAGUAAGGUUCCUGUGAGAGACUUAGCAGGAGUAAGUAGGUUCAAAUAAAACCAGCGAUAGUGUCAUGACAGACGGUAUAUAAUACAUGAAUUUGCUGGGUGAUUAAUACAUAAGGAUGACUGUCUCACUUGUGAGGAUGAUAUAAUACUUCAGCAGCUAACUGGGGGAAGCUACAAAAUCUU
rnacentral:lncRNA from 1 species